UACGUAGGGACCAAGCGUUGUUCGGAUUUACUGGGCGUAAAGGGCGCGUAGGCGGCAAUUCAAGUCAUCUGUGAAAUCUCCGGGCUUAACUCGGAACGGUCAGAUGAUACUGCUUUGCUAGAGUGCGGAAGGGGCAAUCGGAAUUCUUGGUGUAGCGGUGAAAUGCGUAGAUAUCAAGAGGAACACCUGAGGUGAAGACGGGUUGCUGGGCCGACGCUGACGCUGAAGCGCGAAAGCCAGGGGAGCAAACGGG
rnacentral:rRNA from 1 species